AGAAUCAACGCUGGCGGCGUGCCUAACACAUGCAAGUCGAACGAGAAAGGGUAGCAAUACCUGAGUAAAGUGGCGCACGGGUGAGUAACACGUGACUAACCUACCCUGGAGUGGGGAAUAACUGAGGGAAACCUUAGCUAAUACCGCAUAAUACCUACGGGUCAAAGGAGCAAUUCGCUUCAGGAGGGGUCGCGGCCGAUUAGUUAGUUGGCGGGGUAAUGGCCCACCAAGACAGUGAUCGGUA
rnacentral:rRNA from 1 species